rnacentral:rRNA from 1 species
UACGGAGGGUGCAAGCGUUAUCCGGAUUCACUGGGUUUAAAGGGUGCGUAGGCGGAUUGGUAAGUCCGUGGUGAAAUCCCCGAGCUUAACUCGGGAACUGCCGUGGAUACUAUCAAUCUUGAAUGCUGUGGAGGUAAGCGGAAUAUGUCAUGUAGCGGUGAAAUGCUUAGAGAUGACAUAGAACACCGAUUGCGAAGGCAGCUUGCUACACAGUAAUUGACGCUGAGGCACGAAAGCGUGGGGAUCAAACAGG